AUUGAACGCUGGCGGCAUGCCUUACACAUGCAAGUCGAACGGCAGCACGGGUGCUUGCACCUGGUGGCGAGUGGCGAACGGGUGAGUAAUACAUCGGAACGUACCUUAUCGUGGGGGAUAACGCAGCGAAAGCUGUGCUAAUACCGCAUACGCCCUGAGGGGGAAAGCGGGGGAUCGAAAGACCUCGCGCGAUUAGAGCGGCCGAUGCCUGAUUAGCUUGUUGGUGGGGUAAAAGCCGACCAAGGCGACGAUGAGUAGCUGGUCUGAGAGGACGAUCAGCCACACUGGGAAUGAGAAACGGCCCAGACUCCUACGGGAGGCAGCAGUGGGGAAUUUUGGACAAUGGGGGCAACCCUGAUCCAGCAAUGCCGCGUGAGUGAAGAAGGCCUUCGGGUUGUAAAGCUCUUUUGUCAGGGAAGAAACACCGGCUCUAACACAGUCCGGGAAUGACGGUACCUGAAGAAUAAGCACCGGCUAACUACGUGCCAGCCGCCGCAGUAA
rnacentral:rRNA from 1 species